rnacentral:rRNA from 1 species
AUUGAACGCUGGCGGCAGGCCUAACACAUGCAAGUCGAACGAGUGGCGGACGGGUGAGUAAUGUCUGGGAAACUGCCUGAUGGAGGGGGAUAACUAAUGGAAACGGUAGCUAAUACCGCAUACCAUCAGAUGUGCCCAGAUGGGAUUAGCUAGUUGGUGGGGUAACGGCUCACCAGGGCGACGAUACCUAGCUGGUCUGAGAGGAUGACAUGCCAAACUGGAACUGAGACACGGUCAAGACUCCAACGGGAGGCAGCAGUGGGGAAUAUGGCAAAAGGGGCGAAAGCCUGAUGCAGCCAGGCCGCGUGUAGGAAGAAGGCCUUCGGGUGGUAAAGUACUUUCAGCGGGUAGGCGUUACCCGCAGAAGAAGCACCGGCUAACUCCGUGCCAGCAGCCGCGGUAAUAC